ensembl:lncRNA
AGAAGAAGUAGAGGAGGGAAAGGAGAAGAAGAGGAGCUCUUUUGUGAAGCGUCCUUCGCUCAUCCCUCUCUGGCAGCAGCAGCCGCAGCAUCCGUACCGCUGCCUCCAUCAGCAGCGGCGCAGCGGCCGCCGCUCUCGCUGCUGGAUGCUCCGUCUCCUGCCGGGAUCUGCCUCCACCUUCUCCUCAGGGAGCUCUUCCUGGAACUGGGAGGGGGAGGGAGAUCACCACCUCCCAGUUUGCCACGGACCCUCAGCGAGGCAAGGAGAAUUGUAGGAGAGCUGAGGAGAGGCACCACCCUGAGUGACAGGAGGAAGCAGGCCCCCCUGUCACCCUCCAACCCCUCCUUCCCAGGUCUCAUGGGGAAGAGCUGGAUGAGCUUUCGGGAGAUCUGGGCGGUGCUGCCGGGCUGUAGUCCAGGUGAGAGACGGUCGCCGUUUCUCACGCUCCCCCUGUCGCUUGCAGAGAUGGUUGCACAGAGGCGUGAGAGACUGAAUCGAUGUAACAGGAGCCAUUGAUGGAGCCUAGCCUCACACUGCAGCGAGGCGUCUUCAAUCAAUGCACUGGCCACUCUCUGUGUAUGUGUAUGUUUCUGUUUGCCACCGGAGCCUGAAGGGGGGCUGCUGAUGGCAGCGGCGAUGGCCAUGGUGGUGAUGGUGGUGGUGAUGAUGAUACGAUGGCAGUGGCGCUGCUCACGUGCUUUCUGGCUUAGCUCCCCUGUUUACUGAAAGACUCUCUUCGGUGACGGGUAUUCUUGGGUGGAUAAUACAGAUCACGUUGUUAUUGCUUAAGAAUACGCGUAGUCGAGGAGAGUCCUCUCUUCGCCCAAUACCCCUCAGCCCCCCCCGCACUCACCCACCUCACCUCCCCCCGACAAAACACCACCCAACCACGGAGGUCUGUCAGG